CUUCGGGUUGUAAACUGCUUUUGUACGGAGCGAAACGGUCUGCCCUAAUACGGUGGGCUAAUGACGGUACCGUAAGAAUAAGCACCGGCUAACUACGUGCCAGCAGCCGCGGUAAUACGUAGGGUGCGAGCGUUAAUCGGAAUUACUGGGCGUAAAGCGUGCGCAGGCGGUGAUGUAAGACAGAUGUGAAAUCCCCGGGCUCAACCUGGGACCUGCAUUUGUGACUGCAUCGCUAGAGUACGGUAGAGGGGGAUGGAAUUCCGCGUGUAGCAGUGAAAUGCGUAGAUAUGCGGAGGAACACCGAUGGCGAAGGCAAUCCCCUGGACCUGUACUGACGCUCAUGCACGAAAGCGUGGGGAGCAAACAGGAUUAGAUACCCUGGUAGA
rnacentral:rRNA from 1 species